CGCUUCCACCAGCCGCCAGUUCCAAGAACGAGGCAUCCAUCCGCGAGCUGAAGCGCGCGCUCCCCUUCUCACCAACCACCGCCACGCCGCGCGGCCCAUCCCCUGACGACGACGGCCAUGGCGGCGGCGAUGUCGGUGUCGGCCGUGGUCCCGCCGGCGGCGGCGGUGGCGCGCGCGCGGACGCUGCUCUGCGUACCCGCCACGGCGCGCGCGCCGCGGGAGAUGGCGGCGGAGGUGGCUGCCGCAGCCGCUCUCGGCGCCGACCUGGCUGAACUCCGCCUCGACCGCCUAGCCGGGUUCGCCCCGCGCCGGGACCUGCCCGCGCUCCUCGCCAAGCCUCGCACGCUCCCCGCCCUCGUCACAUACAGGCCAAAGUGGGAAGGUGGUGAAUAUGAAGGCGAUGAUGAACCGCGAUUCGAGGCACUUCAAUUGGCAAUGGAACUGGGAGCUGAAUACGUUGAUAUUGAGCUUAAGGUUGCUGACAAAUUUAUGAAAUUCAUGUCCGGAAAGAAACCCGAGAACUGUAAGCUCAUUGUUUCAUCCCAUAACUAUGAUAACACUCCUUCGGCAGAAGAGCUUGCCAUCUUGUUGGCUCAGAUUCAAGCAACUGGAGCUGAUAUAGUAAAAAUUGCGACCACUGCUACUGAAAUUGUUGAUGUUUCAAGAAUGUUUGAAAUACUUGUACACUGCCAAGAAAAGCAGGUGCCGAUCAUAGGACUGGUGAUGAACGACAGAGGAUUUAUUUCUCGUGUUCUCUGCCCCAAAUUCGGUGGAUACCUUACUUUUGGCUCUCUUGAAAAAGGAAAAGAAUCUGCACCUUCACAGCCAACCGCUGCAGACUUGAUCAAUGUGUACAACAUUAGACAGAUAGGCCCAGAUACCAAGGUGUUUGGUAUUAUUGGAAAUCCUGUUGGACACAGUAAAAGCCCGGUUUUGCAUAAUGAAGCUUUCAGAUCAGUGGGUUUGAAUGCUGUGUAUGUGCCAUUUUUGGUGGAUGACUUGGCUAAAUUUCUUUCGACCUACUCUUCACCACACUUUGCUGGCUUCAGUUGUACAAUUCCCCACAAGGAAGCUGCAGUUAGGUGCUGUGAUGAGGUUGAUCCUAUUGCCAGGGACAUUGGAGCUGUUAAUACAAUUAUUAGAAAACCUGAUGGGAAACUUGUAGGCUACAAUACUGAUUAUGUCGGUGCAAUUUCUGCUAUUGAAGAUGGAAUAAGAGCAACACAACCAACGCAUUCUACCACGUCACCACUGGCUGGAAGGCUUUUCGUUGUUAUUGGGGCUGGUGGUGCAGGGAAAGCACUUGCUUACGGUGCAAAAGAGAAGGGAGCAAGGGUUGUAAUAGCAAACCGCACUUUCGCACGUGCUCAAGAACUUGGUAACUUAAUCGGUGGGCCUGCUUUGACUCUCACGGAGUUAGAAAACUACCAUCCGGAGGAAGGGAUGAUUCUUGCAAACACAACAGCAAUAGGAAUGCAUCCAAAUGUCAAUGAAACUCCUCUAUCCAAGCAAGCGCUUAAAUCUUAUGCUGUUGUCUUCGAUGCGGUCUACACACCGAAAGAGACAAGACUUCUUAGGGAAGCUGCAGAAUGUGGAGCCACAGUUGUUAGCGGUUUGGAGAUGUUCAUAAGGCAAGCAAUGGGUCAAUUUGAGCAUUUCACGGGCAUGCCAGCUCCAGAUAGCUUGAUGCGUGAUAUUGUUCUGAGAAAGACCUAAUAAGGUUUGUUCAAAAUGCAUCCUUCCCUUACAUAGGACUGUCUGGAAAACUACUUAGGUUGUGUGAAUUACUAAAAUGUGUUGGAUAUCUGAAUGAGGUGGCGAUACAUUGUCUGGAGAUAAAGUCAGUGUGGCGGUGUGGCCAUAAUAUCUGCAAUUUUAUUUCUAUGGAUGCCUAAUGGAUGGUAAAUUUCGAUAUAACUCAGUCUUUGUUUUCAGCGGUUGAUGGUAAAUUCCGAGCGCUGGCAAAUUCUUUGGACAACCCUAGUGCCGUGAAGGGAAACAGGAGCACAUCACUCAAACCUCGCUUGUGACAGACAAACCCAUGUCUGCGGGUUUUCGUAUAAGUUUUUGGAUUUGGAAUCAGCAAUCAGUUUGAGUAGAUUGUGAGAUGGCCUCGCUUGAAAAUUUGCAUUGUAUAGCCCAAAUAGUAUAUUUGUUUGCCAAAAGUUAGUGCAUCAGAAAACAGGAAGGAGGCUUUGCUUCCCAGAUUUUAUGAGUUUUGUAGGAUACUAGUAAUAAUGAUAAAUUAAUAUACACCUGUGGAAUCAAGCA